GACUAACGCUGGCGGCGUGCCUAACACAUGCAAAGUCGAACGAGUUGUUUAUAGUAGCAAUAUUGUAAACAGCAAGUGGCGAACGGGUGAGUAACACGUAGAUAAUCUGCCUUUCAGACGGGGACAACUCAGGGAAACUUGUGCUAAUACCCGAUGAGACUACGGGAGGGGACUUUCGUAGCCAAAGGUGGGGGCAACCUCACGCUGAAAGAUGAGUCUGCGUCCUAUCAGCUAGUUGGUGGGGUAAAAGCCUACCAAGGCGAAGACGGGUAGCCGGCCUGAGAGGGUGAACGGCCACACUGGACUGAGACACGGCCCAGACUCCUACGGGAGGCAGCAGUGAGGAAUUUUCCGCAAUGGGCGCAAGCCUGACGGAGCGACGCCGCGUGAGGGAUGACGGCCUUCGGGUUGUAAACCUCUUUUAUUAGGGAAAAAGGCAAUCGUGCUAAUACCACGGUUGUUUGAUGUUACCUGUUGAAUAAGCCCCGGCUAACUACGUG
rnacentral:rRNA from 1 species